CUCCGAAGCUCUUCUACAGUUUUUGUCAAACUCUGAUUUUCCAUCUCCAACUUCAACAACCUACUUGAUGUCAAUUCAUUUACCUCAUGGCCCAAGGAUUUCUGUGGUGCUAUAAUAUUGAAAAAUACGUCACUGAGAGAUAUGUGGCCUUUUGUGACAUCUCCAACCAGGGAAAAUAAAGAACAGCAAUGAAAUAUCCAGAAAUACAAUGAAGAAAUCAUGGAGAAAGGAAAAAAGAAUGCCAAGAAGCAAGGAUUUUCAGAUUUCUUGCUGUCAAACUCAACAUCAUGUAACACAGAACUGCAACCAUUAACUAAGAAAAAUUGCUUUUUCUACUUUGUUCAUACAUAUAUAUAAAGAGAGAAGACA